CAGUCGCCGCGGUAAUACGAAGGGGGCUAGCGCUGUUCGGAUUUACUGGGCGUAAAGGGUGCGUAGGCGGACUGAUAAGUCAGGGGUGAAAUCCCAAGGCUCAACCUUGGAACUGCCUUUGAUACUGUUAGUCUUGAGUUCGAGAGAGGUGAGUGGAACCGCGAGUGUAGAGGUGAAAUUCGUAGAUAUUCGCAAGAACACCAGUGGCGAAGGCGGCUCACUGGCUCGAAACUGACGCUGAGGCACGAAAGCGUGGGGAGCAAACAGGAUUAGAUACCCCGGUAGUCCCUGUCUCUUAUAA
rnacentral:rRNA from 1 species